rnacentral:pre_miRNA from 1 species
CGGCCGCCGGGCGCACCCGUCCCGUUCGUCCCCGGACGUUGCUCUGGGCCCCGGGAACGUCGAGACUGGAGCGCCCGAAC